rnacentral:rRNA from 1 species
GACGAACGCUGGCGGCGUGCUUAACACAUGCAAGUCGAGCGGUAAGGCCCUUUCGGGGGUACACGAGCGGCGAACGGGUGAGUAACACGUGGGUGACCUGCCCUCAGCUCUGGGAUAAGCCUGGGGGAACUGGGUCUAAUACUGGAUAUGACUCCACGGUGCAUGUCGUGGGUGGAAAGCCUUGUGCGGCUGAGGAUGGGCCCGCGGCCUAUCAGCUUGUUGGUGGGGNGAUGGCCUACCAAGGCGACGACGGUAGCCGGCCUGAGAGGGCGACCGGCCACACUGGACUGAGACACGGCCCAGACUCCUACGGGAGGCAGCAGUGGGGAAUCUUGCGCAAUGGGCGAAAGCCUGACGCAGCGACGCCGCGUGA